GAAAUGCGAUAAGUAAUGUGAAUUGCAGAAUUCAGUGAAUCAUCGAAUCUUUGAACGCACAUUGCGCCCGCCAGUAUUCUGGCGGGCAUGCCUGUUCGAGCGUCAUUUCAACCAUCAAGCCCCCGGCUUGUGUUGGGGACCUGCGGCUGCCCGCAGGCCCUGAAAAACAGUGGCGGGCUCGCUGUCACACCGAGCGUAGUAGCAUACAUUCUCGCUCAGGGCGUGCUGCGGGUUCCGGCCGUUAAACGACCUUCAUAACCCAAGGUUGACCUCGGAUCAGGUAGGAAGACCCGCUGAACUUGAGC
rnacentral:misc_RNA from 1 species